ensembl:misc_RNA 7SK 7SK RNA
GGAUGUGAGGGUGAUCUGGCUGCGACAUCUGUCACCCCACUGAUCGCCAGGGUUGAUUUGGCUGAUCUGGCUGGCUAGGCGGGUGUCCUCUUCCUCCCUCACUGCUCCAUGUGCAUCCCUCCUGAAGCUGCGUGCUCAGUCGAAGAGGACCAUGGACCGGCCUUCAGUUGAGGGUAUAUGAGUAGCUGCGCUCCCCUGUUAGAACCUCCAAACAACUCUCAAGACUAGAAAGCUGGAUCAGGGCAGAGAGUAUCUCCCAAAUAUGCAAAAAAUAUAUAUCUGACCUAGGGCCCAUAUUU